rnacentral:rRNA from 1 species
AUUGAACGCUGGCGGCAUGCCUUACACAUGCAAGUCGAACGGCAGCACGGGAGCAAUCCUGGUGGCGAGUGGCGAACGGGUGAGUAAUAUAUCGGAACGUGCCCAGUCGUGGGGGAUAACGCAGCGAAAGCUGUGCUAAUACCGCAUACGAUCUCUGGAUGAAAGCGGGGGACUCGCAAGGGCCUCGCGCGAUUGGAGCGGCCGAUAUCAGAUUAGGUAGUUGGUGGGGUAAAAGCUCACCAAGCCGACGAUCUGUAGCUGGUCUGAGAGGACGACCAGCCACACUGGAACUGAGACACGGUCCAGACUCCUACGGGAGGCAGCAGUGGGGAAUUUUGGACAAUGGGCGCAAGCCUGAUCCAGCAAUGCCGCGUGCAGGAUGAAGGCCUUCGGGUUGUAAACUGCUUUUGUACGGAACGAAACGGUCUGCUUUAAUACAGUGGGCUAAUGACGGUACCGUAAGAAUAAGCACCGGCUAACUACGUG